AGGACACGAUCAGUAGCUGUUCUCAGAGGAAGAUCAGCCACAUUGGGACUGAGAUACGGNCCAGACUCCUACGGGAGGCAGCAGUGAGGAAUUUUGCGCAAUGGGUGAAAUCCUGACGCAGCAACGCCGCGUGAUCGAUUGAAGCUUUAAGGAGUGUAAAGGUCUGUCGCGAGGGAAGACAAUCACCGAGGAAGAAAAGUUCGGUAGUUGACGGUACCUCGCAAGCAAGCUCCGGCUAACUUCGUGCCAGCAGCCGCGGUAAUACGAGGGGAGCAAGCGUUGUCCGAAAUAACUGGGCGUACAGGGUACGUAGGCUUUUUUGUAUGUUUUCGGUGAAAGUCACCGGCUUAACUUUGUGAAUUGCCGGACAAACUGCAGAGAUUGAUUCCGAAAGGGGAAAGCAGAAUCCCUGGUGUAGCGGUGAAAUGCGUAGAUCUCCGGAGGAAUACCAGUGGCGAAGGCGGCUUGCUGGUUCGGAAUUGACGCUGAUGUACUAAAGCGUGGGUAAGCA
rnacentral:rRNA from 1 species